rnacentral:rRNA from 1 species
AAGCGUAACAAGGUUUCCGUAGGUGAACCUGCGGAAGGAUCAUUAUCUAUUCCAUGAGGUGCGGUCGCGGCCCUCGGCGGGAGCAACAGCUGCCGUCGGGCGGUAGAGGUAACACUUUCACGCGCCGCAUGUCUGAAUCCUUUUUUUACGAGCACCUUUCGUUCUCCUUCGGCGGGGCAACCUGCCGUUGGAACCUAUCAAAACCUUUUUUUUGCAUCUAGCAUUACCUGUUCUGAUACAAACAAUCGUUACAACUUUCAACAAUGGAUCUCUUGGCUCUGGCAUCGAUGAAGAACGCAGCGAAAUGCGAUAAGUAGUGUGAAUUGCAGAAUUCAGUGAAUCAUCGAAUCUUUGAACGCACAUUGCGCCCCUUGGUAUUCCAUGGGGCAUGCCUGUUCGAGCGUCAUCUACACCCUCAAGCUCUGCUUGGUGUUGGGCGUCUGUCCCGCCUCUGCGCGCGGACUCGCCCCAAAUUCAUUGGCAGCGGUCCUUGCCUCCUCUCGCGCAGCACAUUGCGCUUCUCGAGGGGCGCGGCCCGCGUCCACGAAGCAACAUUACCGUCUUUGACCUCGGAUCAGGUAGGGAUACCCGCUGAACUUAAGCAUAUCAA